UACGUAGGGUGCAAGCGUUAAUCGGAAUUACUGGGCGUAAAGCGCGCGUAGGCGGCUUUUCAAGUCGAUUGUGAAAUCCCCGGGCUUAACCUGGGAACUGCAUUUGUGACUGCACGGCUAGAGUGUGUCAGAGGGGGUAGAAUUCCACGUGUGAGCAGUGAAAUGCGUAGAUAUGUGGAGGAAUACCGAUGGCGAAGGCAGCCCCUGGGAUAACACUGACGCUCAUGCACGAAAGCGUGGGGAGCAAACAGG
rnacentral:rRNA from 1 species